GAUGAACGCUAGCUACAGGCUUAACACAUGCAAGUCGAGGGGCAGCAUGAACUUAGCUUGCUAAGUUUGAUGGCGACCGGCGCACGGGUGAGUAACACGUAUCCAACCUGCCGUCUACUCUUGGACAGCCUUCUGAAAGGAAGAUUAAUACAAGAUGGCAUCAUGAGUUCACAUGUUCACAUGAUUAAAGGUAUUCCGGUAGACGAUGGGGAUGCGUUCCAUUAGAUAGUAGGCGGGGUAACGGCCCACCUAGUCUUCGAUGGAUAGGGGUUCUGAGAGGAAGGUCCCCCANAUUGGAACUGAGACACGGUCCAAACUCCUACGGGAGGCAGCAGUGAGGAAUAUUGGUCAAUGGGCGCAGGCCUGAACCAGCCAAGUAGCGUGAAGGAUGACUGCCCUAUGGGUUGUAAACUUCUUUUAUAAAGGAAUAAAGUCGGGUAUGUAUACCCGUUUGCAUGUACUUUAUGAAUAAGG
rnacentral:rRNA from 1 species